ACUGAUGCAUAACUAUGAAUAUGAUUUCUGAUUAAAUUGUUCAUAAAUACCAUCUUUCGGGACUGACA
rnacentral:snoRNA from 14 species